rnacentral:rRNA from 1 species
UACGGAGGGUGCGAGCGUUGUCCGGAAUUAUUGGGCGUAAAGGGCUCGUAGGCGGUUUGUCGCGUCGGGAGUGAAAACUCAGGGCUCAACCCUGAGCGUGCUUCCGAUACGGGCAGACUAGAGGUAUGCAGGGGAGAACGGAAUUCCUGGUGUAGCGGUGGAAUGCGCAGAUAUCAGGAGGAACACCGGUGGCGAAGGCGGUUCUCUGGGCAUUACCUGACGCUGAGGAGCGAAAGCAUGGGGAGCGAACAGG